UCCGUAGGUGAACCUGCGGAGGGAUCAUUACAAGAACGCCCGGGCUUCGGCCUGGUUAUUCAUAACCCUUUGUUGUCCGACUCUGUUGCCUCCGGGGCGACCCUGCCUUCGGGCGGGGGCUCCGGGUGGACACUUCAAACUCUUGCGUAACUUUGCAGUCUGAGUAAACUUAAUUAAUAAAUUAAAACUUUUAACAACGGAUCUCUUGGUUCUGGCAUCGAUGAAGAACGCAGCGAAAUGCGAUAAGUAAUGUGAAUUGCAGAAUUCAGUGAAUCAUCGAAUCUUUGAACGCACAUUGCGCCCCCUGGUAUUCCGGGGGGCAUGCCUGUUCGAGCGUCAUUUCACCACUCAAGCCUCGCUUGGUAUUGGGCAACGCGGUCCGCCGCGUGCCUCAAAUCGUCCGGCUGGGUCUUCUGUCCCCUAAGCGUUGUGGAAACUAUUCGCUAAAGGGUGUUCGGGAGGCUACGCCGUAAAACAACCCCAUUUCUAAGGUUGACCUCGGAUCAGGUAGGGAUACCCGCUGAACUUAAGCAUAUCAAUAAGCGGAGGA
rnacentral:ncRNA from 7 species